CGCCAUGCCUGACUGGUUUUCGUAUUUUUUUGGUGGAGACGGGGUUUCGCUGUGUUGGCCGGGCUGGUCUCCAGCUCCUAACCGCCAGUGAUCCACCAGCCUCGGCCUCCUGAGGUGCCGGGAUUGCAGACGGAGUCUCGUUCAGUCAGUGCUCAAUGGUGCCCAGGCUGGAGUGCAGUGGCGUGAUCUCGGCUCGCUACAACCUCCACCUCCCAGCUGCCUGCCUUGGCCUCCCAAAGUGCCAAGAUUGCAGCCUCUGCCCAGCCGCCGCCCGGUCUGGGAAGUGAGGAGCGUCUCUGCCUGGCCACCCAUCGUCUGGGAUGUGAGGAGCCUCUCUGCCUGGCUGCCCGGUCUGGAAAGUGAGGAGCAUCUCUGCCCGGCCGCCAUCCCAUCUAGGAAGUGAGGAGCGCCUCUUCCCGGCCGCCAUCCCAUCUAGGAAGUGAGGAGCGUCUCUGCCCGGCCGCCCAUCGUCUGAGAUGUGGGGAGCGCCUCUGCCCCGCGGCCCCGUCUGGGAUGUGAGGACCACCUCUGCCCCGCCGCGACCCCGUCUGGGAGGUGAGGAGCGUCUCUGCCCGGCCGCCCCGUCUGAGAAGUGAGGAGACCCUCUGCCCGGCAGCCACCCCGUCUUUGCCAAAUCUGGAUUGAUUCUGACAUGCAACCAGAAUGGCCCUGUUGCAAUGACCCAGACAUUAAAGACUACAACAUUCCAAAGCAAGAACAUAUAUAGAGUAAAUUAAAAAGUGACUACACUGCCCAGUGAAAGGCACAGGCUCAGAAAACCCCUUGGAAGACGUAAGUAUACAACUUAGCAUGAUUCUCAGCAUGGAGACAGCCUACAACAAGAAGAAAAAAAGCAAAACAAACUAAAACAAACAAACAAAAAAUCCCAGAAAACCCUGGGAAGGAAGAGAAUCUGAUUUGCAGAGUUACAGCAUGAUUAGAUUCAAAUGGUUAGUUUUCAAGAAAAAAUUACUUGGCGUACAAAAAAACAUAAAAGUAAGCAAUUACAGCAAAAACAAAAAUUGGCAAGUCAGAUCAAAUUAAACCAAAGAUGUUUGUAAAGCAAAAGAAAUUAUCAAUAGAGUAGACAGAAAGCCUACAGAAUGGGAGAAAAUAUUUGCAAACUAUGUAUCAAACAAAGGUUUAAUAUUCAGACUCCAUAAGGAACUGAAUUUAACAAUGAAAAAACAAAUAACCCCAUUAAAAAAUGGGCAAAAGACAUGAACAGGCACUUUGACACUUCUUAAAAAAAAGACAAACACGUGGCCUAUAAGCCUAUGAAAAAAUGCUCAUCAUCACUAAUUAUUAGAGAAAUGCAAAUAAAAACCACAAUGAGAUAUCACCUCACAUCAGUCAGAAUGGCUAUUAUUAAAAGUCAGAAAAUAACAGAUGCCAGUGAGGUUGCUGAGAAAAGAGGAUGCUUAUACACUGCUGGUGGGAAUGUAAAUUAGUUCACCCACUGUGGAAAGCAGUGUGGAGACUUCUCAAAUAACUUUAAACAGAACUAUCAUUCAAUCCAGCAAUCCCAUUACUGGGUAUACACCCAAAAGUGUAGAAAUUGUUCCACCAUAGAGACAUAUACAUGUGUAUGUUCACCACAGUGCUAUUCACAAUAGCAAAGGCAUGGAAGCAACCUAGGUGUCCAUUAAUGCUGUAUUGAAUAAAGAAAAUAUGGCACAUAUACACCACAGAAUACUAUGCACCCACACACACACACAAAUGAAAUCAUGUCCUUUGUAGCAACAUGGAUGGAGCCAGAGGCCAUUAUCCUAAAUGAAUUAAUGAAGGAACAGAAAACCAAAUACCGCAUGUUCUCAUCUAUGAGUGGGAAUUAAACAUUGAGUACAAAUGGACACAAAGAAGGGAACAAUAGACAUCAGAGCCUACUUGAGGGUGGAGGAUGGAGGCGGGUGAGGAUUGAAACACUACCUCAGAUACUAUGCUUAUUACCUGGGUGAAAAAAUAGUCUGUACACCAAAUCCCUGGGACAUACAAUAUACCCAUGUAACAAACUUGCACAUGUGUCCCCUGUACCUAAAAUAAAAGUUGGAAAAAAUACCAAGAAAGUAUGUUUCAUUCCAAGGAAAAAAUAAAACAACACAAACCAUCUCUGAGAACAACCUGAUGGCAGAUUUUUUAAAUACUUUAAAACAACUGUCUUAAAGAUGCUCAAAGAACUAAAGGAAGACAGAGAAAAUUUUUAAAAACCAAAUACAUGAACGAAGUAAAAAUAUUAACAAAGAGAUAGAAAAGCAAAAAGAAUCCCUCCAAAAUUCUGUAGCUGAAACGGACAAUAAAAGAAAGAAAAAAAUCAGUUGUUAAACUGGGUCCUUAAACAUAACCACCAUGGUAACCACAAAGAAAAUAGUUAUAGAAUAUAUACAAAAGAAACAAGAAGUCAUUGAAAAAAGUCAGCUUAAUACAAAAGAAGGCAGUAAUGCAGAAAAUAAGGAACCAAAAUAAUAUAAGGCAUACAGAAAAUAAAUAACAAAAUGUCAGAAUGAAGUUCCUCCUUAUUUUUACUUUAAAUAUAAAUGAAACUCUCCAAUCAAAAGACAAAAAUUGACAGAAUGGAUUUUAAAAAACCAUGAUCCCCAAGGUGGGCAGAUCACUUGAACUCCCUUUGGGACCAUCAAUCUGGACACAGUGAAACCUCAUCUUUACAAAAAAUACGAAAAUUAGCCAGGCACACGCCUGUAGUCUCAGCUACUCAGGAGGCUGAGGUGGGAGGAUCACUUGAGCCUUGGAGAUUGAUGCUGCAGUGAGCCUUGAUCGAUCAUAUCACUGCACCUUUAGCCUGGGUGGGAGAGCAACACGUUUUUGAAAGAGAGAGAGAGAAAGAAAGAGAGACAGGAAGGAAGGAAGGAAGCAAGGAAGCCCCACAAUCCAACUAUAUGCUGUCUAUAAGUGAUCCACUUUAAAGCCAAAAACACUAAUAGGUUGAAAGUGAAAGUGUGUCCAGAAUUGGUUCCUUCCGGUGGGUUCUUGGUCUCGCUGACUUCAAGAAUGAAGCUGCGGACCCUCGCGGUGAGUGUUACAGUUCUUAAAGAUGGUGUGUUCGGAGUUUGUUCCUUCAGAUGUUCAGAUGUGUUGGGAGUUUCUUCCUUCUGGUGGGUUCCUGGUCUCGCUGACUUCAGGAGUGAAGCUGCAGACCUUCGUGGUGAGUGUUACAGCUCUUAAAGGUGGUGCGUAUGGAGUUGUUUGUUCCUCCUGGUGGGUUUGUGGUCUCGCUGACUUCAGACCCUCUCAGUGAGUGUUACAGCGAAAGAACAAAUCUUCCACAGCAUGGAAGGAGACCCAAGCGGGUUGCCGCUAUGUGCUCGGGUGACCAGCUUUUAUUCUCUUAUUUGGCUCCACCCACAUCCUGCUGAUUGGUCCAUUUUACAGAGCGCUGAUUGAUCCAUUUUACAGAGUGCAGAUUGGUUCAUUUUUACAGAGCACUGAUUGGUGCAUUUACAAACCUUUAGCUAAACACAGAGUGCUGAUCAUGGUGCAUUUUUACAGAGUGCUGACUGGUGCAUUUAGAAACAUUUAGCUAGACACAGAAUGCUGAUUGGUGCAUUUACAAACUGUUAGCUAGACACAGAGCGCUGAUUAGUGUGUUUACAAUCCUUUAGCUAGACAGAAAAGUUCUCCAAGUCCCCAUUCGACCCAGGAAGUCCAGCUGGUUUCACCUCUCAAAAGGAUGGGAAAGGAUAUUCCAUGCAAAUAAUAACCAAAGGAGUAUAUUAAUAUCAAACAAAAUAGGUCUUAAUCAAGGAAAGUUGCAAGAGACAAACAACAUUAUAUAUUCAUAAAAUGUUCAAUACAGCAAGAAAAUAUAACAAUUAUAAACAUUUACACACCUAAUAACAGACCAUCAAAAUAUAUAAUACUGACAUAUGCUAUAACAUGAAUAUACAUUGAGAUCAUUAUGCUAUGUGGAAAAAACCUGUCAUGAAAAGACAAAUAUUGUAUAAUUUUCUUUAUAUGAUGUAGUCAAAUCAUAUAAGUUUGUACCGUGUGCCUGUAAAAGCUGCAGACACUCAACACCAGCCUGUGAAAGCAGCAAGGAGGGAGGCUGUACCAUGCAAAGCCACAGGGGCAGAGCUGCCUAAGGCCAUGGGAGCCCACCUCUUACAUCAGCAUAACCUGGAUAUGAGACAUGGAGUCAAAGGCGAUCAUUUUGGAUCUUUGAGAUUUGACUGCCCUGUUGGAUUUCAGACUUGGAUGGGGCUUGUAGCCCUUUUGUUGUGGCCAGUUUCUCCCACUUGAAAUGGCUGUAUUACCCAAUGCCUGUACUUUCUUUGUAUCUAGGAAGUAACUAACUUGCUUUUGAUUUUAUAGGCUCAUAAGCAGAGGAUACUUGCCUUGUCUCAGAUGAGACUUUGAAACUGUGGACUUUUGAGUUAAUGCUGAAAUGAGUUAAGACUUUGGAGUACUGUUGGAAAGGCAUGACUGGUUUUGAAAUGUGAGGACAUGAAAUUUGGGAGGGGUCGGGGUGGAAUGAUAUGGUUUGGCUGUGUCCCCACCCAAAUUUCAUCUUGAAUUCCCAUGUGUUGUGGGAGGGACUCAGUGGGAGGUAGUUGAAUCAUGGUGGCGGGUCUUUCCCAUGCUGUUCUUGUGAUAGCAAAUAAAUCUCAGAAGAUCUGAUGUUAUUAUAAUGGGGAGUUUCCCUACCCAAGCUGUCCUCUCUUGUCUGCCACCAUGUGAGAUGUGCCUUUCAUCUUC
rnacentral:lncRNA from 10 species